rnacentral:rRNA from 1 species
CGAUCUGAGAGGACUACCCCCCACACUGGUACUGAGACACGGACCAGACUCCUACGGGAGGCAGCAGUAAGGAAUAUUGGACAAUGCCCGCAAGGGUGAUCCAGCCAUGCCGCGUGCAGGAAGAAGGCGCUAUGCGUCGUAAACUGCUUUUGCACCAGAGAAAACCCCCCUACGUGUAGGGGGCUGAUAGUAUGGUGAGAAUAAGCAUCGGCUAACUUCGUGCCAGCAGCCGCGGUAAGACGAAGGAUGCAAGCGUUAUCCGGAUUCAUUGGGUUUAAAGGGAGCGUAGGUGGCUUUGUAAGUCAGUGGUGAAAUCUUCUCGCUUAACGAGAAAACUGCCAUUGAUACUGCAGAGCUUGAGUACAGUUGCCGUUGGCGGAAUAUGACAUGUAGUGGUGAAAUACAUAGAGAUGUCAUAGAACACCGAUUGCGAAGGCAGCUAACGAAACUGUAACUGACACUGAGGCUCGAAAGUGCGGGGAUCAAACAGGAUUAGAUACCCUGGUAGUCCGCACUGUAAACGAUGAUUACUCGCUGCUGGAGGGCAACUUUCAGUGGCUUAGCGAAAGCGAUAAGUAAUCCACCUGGGGAGUACGCCGGCAACGGUGAAACUCAAAGGAAUUGACGGGGGCCCGCACAAGCGGAGGAGCAUGUGGUUUAAUUCGAUGAUACGCGAGGAACCUUACCAGGGCUUGAAAGUUAAGGAAUGAUUAUGAAAGUAGUCAGUCAGCAAUGACCUAAAACUAGGUGCUGCAUGGCUGUCGUCAGCUCGUGCCGUGAGGUGUUGGGUUAAGUCCCGCAACGAGCGCAACCCCUACCAUUAGUUGCCAGCAUGUUAUGAUGGGGACUCUAAUGGAACUGCCCGCGCAAGCGGUGAGGAAGGUGGGGAUGACGUCAAGUCAUCACGGCCCUUACGUCCUGGGCUACACACGUGCUACAAUGGCCAUUAUAGAGGGCUGCUACCUGGUAACAGGAUGCAAAUCUUCAAAAAUGGUCUCAGUUCGGAUUGGGGUCUGCAACUCGACCCCAUGAAGCUGGAUUCGCUAGUAAUCGCGCAUCAGCAAUGGCGCGGUGAAUACGUUCCCGGGCCUUGUACACACCGCCCGUCAAGCCAUGAAAGCUGGGAGUAUCUAAAGUCGGUUGCCGUAAGGCGCUGCCUAGGGUAAAACCGGUGAUUGGGGCUAAGUCGUAACAAGGUAGCCGUACCGGAAGGUGCGGCUG